rnacentral:rRNA from 1 species
AUUGAACGCUGGCGGCAUGCUUUACACAUGCAAGUCGAGCGGCAGCGCGGGGGCUACCCUGGCGGCGAGCGGCGAACGGGUGAGUAACGCAUCGGAACGUAUCCUGGAGUGGGGGAUAACCCAGCGAAAGUUGGGCUAAUACCGCAUGAGCUCUGAGGAGGAAAGCGGGGGACCUGCAAGGGCCUCGCGCUGCAGGAGCGGCCGAUGUCCGAUUAGCUAGUUGGUGAGGUAAAGGCUCACCAAGGCGACGAUCGGUAGCUGGUCUGAGAGGAUGAUCAGCCACACUGGGACUGAGACACGGCCCAGACUCCUACGGGAGGCAGCAGUGGGGAAUUUUGGACAAUGGGGGCAACCCUGAUCCAGCCAUGCCGCGUGAGUGAAGAAGGCCUUCGGGUUGUAAAGCUCUUUCGGACGGAACGAAAUGGUCACGGUCAAUACCCGUGACUGAUGACGGUACCGUAAGAAGAAGCACCGGCUAACUACGUGCCAGCCGCCGCAGUAAGAC